rnacentral:rRNA from 1 species
GUAAUGGUUGUAAGCGGCCCGUCUUGAAACACGGACCAAGGAGUCUAACAUCUGUGCGAGUGUUUGGGUGUCAAACCCGUACGCGUAAUGAAAGUGAACGGAGGCGGGAACCCCUCGGGGUGCACCGUCGACCGAUCCUGAUGUCUUCGGAUGGAUUUGAGUAAGAGCAUAGCUGUUGGGACCCGAAAGAUGGUGAACUAUGCCUGAAUAGGGUGAAGCCAGGGGAAACUCUGGUGGAGGCUCGCAGCGGUUCUGACGUGCAAAUCGAUCGUCAAAUUUGGGCAUAGGGGCGAAAGACUAAUCGAACUAUCUAGUAGCUGGUUCCUGCCGAAGUUUCCCUCAGGAUAGCAGUAACGUUUUCAGUUUUAUGAGGUAAAGCGAAUGAUUAGAGGCCUGGGGGUUGAAACAACCUUCACCUAUUCUCAAACUUUAAAUAUGUAAGAAGUCCUUGUUGCUUAGUUGAACGUGGACAUUUGAAUGUAUCGUUACUAGUGGGCCAUUUUUGGUAAGCAGAACUGGCGAUGCGGGAUGAACCGAACGCGGAGUUAAGGUGCCGGAAUGCACGCUCAUCGGACACCACAAAAGGUGUUAGUUCAUCUAG